AGGAUAAAGACAAAACCCUAAUUGCUGCCUUAUCUUCUUACCCACAAAUAUUUCAGCUCUCUCUCUCUACAGAGGCCAACCCAGGUUACUUUUUUUUUCUUCAACAAACUAGAGGCUAAUAACGUGUGCACACUGACUGUUAUCGUAGAGCCAAGCAAUGCCACCGACCUGUCCCAGCUUCGACUGCCACAAACGCCGCGACCUAAUCACCGACCUGUCCCAGCGCCGCGACCCAAGCUACCGCUUACCAUCGGUGCUUCACUUCGGUUCAACGACGCAGCUUCUUAGAGAUCCAAACACUGCGGAGCAAGGUUCCGCCGACCAGCACCAAUACCGAUUUCUCUUGUGACGUCACUGCUGCUUCCGGCUUUUGAGAGCCACUGAUGGCAACGUGACUGCUCCUCUGUGACGUCACUGUGACGUUGACUCCUCUACCUCACCAUCGGUGUUUCACCAUUGUCGGCUUAUCUCCGCUGCAAUCUUUGCUGCCGGCGUUGGCUAUCCAGCGCCACCCACAUGCGUUGCUACUUCCGGCCUUAACUGCCCAGCACCGACCACAUACGUCGCCCAUUCAACGUGGCAUGCGUGGUCUCGCCAAGCACCGUUCAGUUUGUUGUUGGUGUUCCUUCUUAGCUUAACAAUAUUUAUCGGAGCUCCGAACUCACAAAUUUUGGCCCUGCUUUCAUACCCAUUGAAACCCAUCGCCAUUCGUUCCGGCUAUGAUUAAUCAACGCCAACCACACCGCCUACUCAACGCGGUGUUGGUUUGCCUAGCUGCCCACUGUUUCGUGCACCAUUCUCGGCCUAUAACGCCUUUGGUCUUCAUCCUCUUCAUUACUUCUGAGAGCCCAAUACCUCUUACAUCUGAGCUUAUAUUUCGAGCGAACACUAUAGCUAUUGAAGUCUGGUCUGCUGGCUGGUUGUGUUGUUGCUGAACUACUUGUUGAACAGGAAUUCUGAUUGAAGCUUGAUGGAUAAACCGGACUGGUCCUCCAAAGCGCCUGAUCACUCCAUUUAUUUUCUUUUGGUAUUCUGUUAAUAUCUAUUUGUAUGUAGUUAUAUAUUUUCCAUUAUACGAAUUCUUAUAUUCAUUUUCAUAUGUUUAUAGCCAAGACCAAUCAAUGGAGUUGACAAAAACCAAAAUGAAAGUAGACGUGAAGGUAAGUGAAACAUAUUCUUGUUGUUUGUAGUAUUCCUCUUGGGGUUUCAUGGCAUUCUAAGCCUUAGGUGCAUGCACAUAGAUCAUGACUUGUGCCAUUGGUUAGUUCAGAACUUUGAUCCUUCAACUCGUUCAUUGAAUGUCCACGGUCUGCGAAUGCUUCUCACCGUAGAUGUUCAUAAGUUGAUGAGAUUACCUUCCAAUGGUCUAUUUAUCAAGUCAACAGGGUCCGCAGAUGAAAUUACAAACCUAUGUGACGAACUUGCGGUGAAGAAUAAAUUUGUUUCGUUCACAUCACUAAAAUCUUAUUUGAUUGAAACAAAAGAUGCUAUAACUGAAUUUAAAAGGAAAUUUGUCUUAUACAUCAUAGGAGCCCUCUUAUGCCCCACCAUGAAGGCAGGCGUACACCAAUCAUUCAUUGAGAUGGUUAAGAAUGUUGAGUCCAUUAGUCAAUUCAAUUUGGCAAAGCACACACUUGAUUUUCUCAUCGACCGCAUUGAUAUUGCCAACGUCAAAAAGCAGUCUGAUGUGUGCGUCUAUUUGUUUCUGUAACGAGUUGAAUAAAAUUGAAUUUAUACUUUAAUCUCAGUUGGGGAUUUAUUUUAAAUUAUUAAACUCCAUUCAUUUUGGACCCAAUUGAUUGAA